GAAUUCAAAUGUGGUAUGGAGCCCGUUUCAGCCACACAGAUAAGGGUGUCAUUGCAACAAGGGGUUGUCAGAGCAACAAGGUAGAAGCAAGUUGGGUCUUUGGAUGACCUCGAGGAAGAGCGCUGCCUACUCACCUGGACCACCCACCUGCCUCUGUGCUGUUAGGUAAGGGCACAGCAAGAAGGGAGCUGUCUAUGAACCAGUAAUCGGACUCUCACCAGGAACCAAAUCAUCCUGCACCUUGAUCUUGGAUUUCUCAGCCUCCAGAACCAUGAGAAAUAAAGCAACCUUGGGAGGUCGAUGGUAUUAUCCCCAUUUUACAGAUGGCGGCACAAAGGCUUGGAGGCUGACAGACUUUUCUGAUAUCACACAGCCCGCAGACUGCUGAGCAGCGACUGGAACUGCGGCCUUGUGCUCCUGGCUGCACCUUGGGCUGCCCAGACCACUCUGUUGCUGGUGCCCAGCUCAACCUUCAAAUCUUCGUUUAUGGAGUUACAUAAAUGUGGCCAGAAGCUGACUGUCCAAUAAAUCAUAAGCAAUUAUCUGCUCAUGGAAAACCUUUGUUGAAGGUAGUGUUCCCACAUACGGCCAGGUACCUUUCCUCUCCAUUUUCUUUCCUGGGUGCAGAGAGCUCUACUGGAAAUCACUGGGAGGUCUGUGCACAAUGAGGAGCAGGGAAUGAGAGGCAGGGUGUGAAUCUAUUCCAUAAAGUGAAAACUUAUGCCCUAACAAAUAAUUAAGAAAACAUUCAAGGUCAUUUCCUCAGCUGAUCAUCACCAGCAGAGCCAACUUUGGAUUAAACACUUCUGCUCAGUGGUUUUGACAUUCUUAGUCAGGCAUAUCUUGAUGAAAUUAGAGAUGCAGAAAAUAUUUUUUGAUGGAGUGCAGGGACAAAACAGCUAGAAGGGAAGCCAAUUCUGUGCACAAACUUGUGCAGUCUGAAAUAAAGAGGAGAAGAGAAAGCAAGAGAUUAAGGUGCGUGUGCUUGUGCGAGUGUGUGUGUGUAUAAAUCAAGGAAGAUGAAAACAAGUGAUAGAAGAGGAAAGGGGAAUCUGGGGUGAUGCUAAUUAAUUAGACUUUAAGAUCUUGGCAGCGAGA